GCUGCUGUAGCUUAGUCGGCGAAAGCGUCCGGCUGAUAACCGGGAGAUCGGACGUUCAAAUCGUCCCAGCAGCA
rnacentral:tRNA from 1 species